UGAUGACAGUCUCCGGAAUCGCUGUACUCGGUGAUGAAAGUACGCUGAACCCUUUUCCAUCUGACGGCUGAGCGCCCGGC